GAUGAACGCUGGCGGCGUGCCUAAUACAUGCAAGUCGAGCGGACGGACGAGAAGCUUGCUUCUCUGAUGUUAGCGGCGGACGGGUGAGUAACACGUGGAUAACCUACCUAUAAGACUGGGAUAACUUCGGGAAACCGGAGCUAAUACCGGAUAAUAUUUUGAACCGCAUGGUUCAAAAGUGAAAGACGGUCUUGCUGUCACUUAUAGAUGGAUCCGCGCUGCAUUAGCUAGUUGGUAAGGUAACGGCUUACCAAGGCAACGAUGCAUAGCCGACCUGAGAGGGUGAUCGGCCACACUGGAACUGAGACACGGUCCAGACUCCUACGGGAGGCAGCAGUAGGGAAUCUUCCGCAAUGGGCGAAAGCCUGACGGAGCAACGCCGCGUGAGUGAUGAAGGUCUUCGGAUCGUAAAACUCUGUUAUUAGGGAAGAACAUAUGUGUAAGUAACUGUGCACAUCUUGACGGUACCAAUCAGAAAGCCACGGCUAACUACGUG
rnacentral:rRNA from 1 species